GAACUGAGUUUGGGUUUGGGGGUUGUUGCAGGGUGCUGUAAUGGAAGCUAAUGGGGUGAAUUGGGGGAUUUUGGUGUUGGGGUUUGAGGGUUUAAUGGAGAGAGAAAAGAGAGGUGAAGAUUGGGCAUUAAUGUUUCGUUGAGGAAGGUUUAUUUCUGAAUUCUUUGAACCAUUGUAAUCAUGGAAAAUAACCUGAAAAAGAAGAAGAAAUAAUGAUCAUUGCUUAAAUGCACUUAACAUGGUAUUAAGAAAUAAUAAUCAUUGCUUAUCUGCACUUAACAUGGAGAAUCUUUAUUUGUCGCUAAAGUUAUUAGGAAUAGUUUUCCCUUUGGAAUUUAUAUGGUAGGAACUAGGAAAUGUCCUUUUCUUUAUCCUCUCAGUUCAUAUGCUGUAUUUUUUAAGAAGAUUUUUAUUAUGGUUGAGCAUAAUGCACCCUGUGGUUCUACGAUUAAUCUUGUCAUUAUUUUUCUCCAUAUCUUUGAAUUUUAUGGCAGACAAGGAACUGAAGUUAUGAUAGUAUCAAGUUCGUGGUUGCUAAGCAUUGAAGCAAAAGAAAACUAUUAUCUGUAGUGAUUCUCUGCUUUUUAUCAUACCUGCUAAUAAUUUCUAUCAGUUUCUUGUCUUGAACGAUGAUUGUCGGUUGCAGAUAGUUG
rnacentral:lncRNA from 1 species